rnacentral:rRNA from 1 species
CCUACGGGUGGCAGCAGUGGGGAAUAUUGGACAAUGGAGGAAACCCUGAUCCAGCGACGCCGCGUGAAGGAAGAAGGAUUUCGGUAUGUAAAGCUCUUUUAGCAGGGAAGAAAAUGACGGUACCUGUCUCAGAAUCACCGGCUAACUACGUGCCAGCAGCCGCGGUAAUACGUAGGAGGCAAGCGUUAUCCGGAUUUACUGGGUGUAAAGGGGGCGUAGACGGCGUGGCAAGUCAGAAGUGAAAUCCCAUGGCUUAACCUUGGAACUGCUUUUGAAACUGUGCAGCUGGAGUGCAGGAGAGGUAAGCGGAAUGCCUAGUGUAGCGGUGAAAUGCGUAGAUAUUAGGAGGAACACCAGUGGCGAAGGCGGCUUACUGGACUGUAACUGACGUUGAGGCACGAAAGCGUGGGGAGCAAACAGGAUUAGAUACCCCAGUAGUC